rnacentral:pre_miRNA from 1 species
ACUCAUGGAUUUCCGUGUCCAACGUUUGACCGUUCAUCUUAUUUAAAAAAAUGUGAAAAAAAUUAAAAAGACAAGUCACACAUAAAGUAUUAAUCAUGUUUUAUCAUCUAACAACAAUGAAAAUACUAAUUAUAAAAAUAAAUCAUAUAAAACGGAGAGUCAAACGUUGGACACGGAAACCCAGGUUUUUUUUUUGA